AGUUUUGCCCAGUGGCAGUAUCGUAGCAAAUGAGGUUUAUCCGAGGCGCGAUUAUUGCUAAUUGAAAACUAACUGGGAAUACUUUGUUCCUGGGAGAAAAGGACCUUAUCUCCCUCUUAUUUUAACUUUUAUUCUUUGUUCUUGUGG
ensembl:snRNA U4 U4 spliceosomal RNA